rnacentral:misc_RNA from 1 species
GUUCCUUGAUAAAUGGAAUCAUACCCAGGUGCUCAGUCCUGGAAUUAUUCCUUGAAAGGAUUUCGGUGUAGAAUAAAAUAGUUUAAUUCUUACAGGAUCGUAUUUAAACGGAUAUGUUGUAUGAUGAACAAAACCUCUGUUGAGUUGUCGAGAACUAGUCAUCCAUGCAUCCCGUCUCUAACAUCACUUAAUUUGGGAUACCUAGCACCCCUUUAUCUAGUGUGCCAACUAUUGCAAUUUGCUAAUUAAUCCUUAAAUUAGUUAAUUAUAAAUGAACCCAAACAGUUAAAUAUCUAAUAUUUAACCUCAUAACUUUAAAUAUUUUUUCAAUUAAGUCCUUAAUUGCAAAGAGCAAAAUAGUCCCUAUAAAUUACAUUUUGAUCCUUG